GACGAACGCUGGCGGCGUGCUUAACACAUGCAAGUCAAACGGAAAGGCCCCCUUGUGGGGUACUCGAGUGGCGAACGGGUGAGUAACACGUGAGUAACCUACCCUUGACUUUGGGAUAACUUCAGGAAACUGGGGCUAAUACCGGAUAGGAGCUCCUGCUGCAUGGUGGGGGUUGGAAAGUUUCGGCGGUUGGGGAUGGACUCGCGGCUUAUCAGCUUGUUGGUGGGGUAGUGGCUCACCAAGGCUUUGACGGGUAGCCGGCCUGAGAGGGUGACCGGCCACAUUGGGACUGAGAUACGGCCCAGACUCCUACGGGAGGCAGCAGUGGGGAAUAUUGCACAAUGGGCGGAAGCCUGAUGCAGCAACGCCGCGUGCGGGAUGACGGCCUUCGGGUUGUAAACCGCUUUCGCCUGUGACGAAGCGUGAGUGACGGUAAUGGGUAAAGAAGCACCGGCUAACUACGUG
rnacentral:rRNA from 1 species